GCCCCCGUAGCUCAGUUUGGAUAGAGCACCAGCCUCCUAAGCUGGGGGUCGUGAGUUCGAAACUAUUCGAUAUGUAAAAGAGAGAAUCUCACCGGGGGCA
rnacentral:tRNA from 1 species